rnacentral:rRNA from 1 species
AGCAGCCGCGGUAAUUCCAGCUCCAAUAGCGUAUAUUAAAGUUGUUGCAGUUAAAAAGCUCGUAGUUGAAUUUCGGGGUCAGUAGGUUGGUCGUGCCACUGGUAUGUACUGGUCUCACUGAUUCCUCCUUCCUGAUGAGCUGUAAUGCCAUUAAUUUGGUGUUGCAGGGAAUCUGGACUGUUACUUUGAAAAAAUUGGAGUGUUUAAAGCAGGCUAACGCUUGAAUACAUUAGCAUGGAAUAAUGAAAUAGGACGUUCGAUCCUAUUUUGUUGGUUUCUAGGAUUGACGUAAUGAUUAAUAGGGAUAGUUGGGGCAUUAGUAUUCAAUUGUCAGAGGUGAAAUUCUUGGAUUUAUUGAAGACUAACUACUGCGAAAGCAUUUGCCAAGGAUGUUUCAUUAACCAAGAACGAAAGUUAGGGAUCGAAGACGAUCAGAUACCGU